ACGCUCGACACCUACAGGAGGCAGCAGUGGGGAAUAUUGCACAAUGGGGGAAACCCUGAUGCAGCGACGCCGCGUGAAGGAAGAAGUAUCUCGGUAUGUAAACUUCUAUCAGCAGGGAAGAAAGUGACGGUACCUGACUAAGAAGCCCCGGCUAACUACGUGCCAACAGCCGCGGUAAUCUGAGCGGGCUGGCAAGGC
rnacentral:rRNA from 1 species